rnacentral:lncRNA from 1 species
UUUUUUUUUUCCUGUAUAUUUCCUAAAAUUAAAAAGUAAAUCCAAACUAUAGAGUUCAAGUCCUCCUUUUUAUUCGAGAGGCAGGGGUGGGUGUAAUUAUUUUUUUAUUGCUGAUAGAUACAUUUUGUUCAUCAAAAAAUAAGUGAAGCAGCACAUUUCUACCUGAAAUAGCAUAUUUGUCAAUUGUGUGCUUAGUAUGUAUUUUUUUUCCCUCUCAUAUACUGUUGCAAUGGAUGAAUAACAUGCUGAUGAGUAAGGUUUUAGAUUGCUUUUAAUUUGAAAGAUUUGUAAGGCUUUUCCUACUAAUUUAACUAUCAAAAUUUCUGGGGGCUGGGAAGAAGUAUUGAAAGGGUUUUUAAAAUGCUUACAUAUUUGUAUAAAUGCCAGUUUAUUAAAAAUGACAACUAGAAAAAGUAGUGUAGUAUUGAGUUAAAUAUAGGUCAUAACUUUUCCAAUCCAAAUGCUUUAUCGUUUAAUAUAUUAAGCAUAUGGAUUUAACAUUAGGCACUACCUUAGACACGAUUGUAAAUGUUUUUAUAAAAUGUGAAGUGGUUUAAUUGGAAUAGACACGUCCAAAUGUAAAAUUACUUGUAUAAUUUCUCGCUCUGAUAUUGUCAGCCUUGUCUUUAGAGUCCAUUUAACCUUAAUGAGCUAAUUAAGAAAUUGACUAAGUUGACUUGAACAUACAGAAAUGUAAGCCUUUGGGACAUUAUUAUUUACCAGCUCUACAUUGUUUGUCAUGGGCCUUCACUAUUCACUAGACCUGCCUCAACAUCUGUCUUUUCCCUGUAAGUGCCAUUCGGGUUUCACCUAAAAUGUAGUUAGCUUCAUAAUGUUGUUCUUAAUAGAAAAGUAAUACGUAUGUAGAACACAUCUAGAGAACAUAGAAGGGAUGUAUAAAAAUGACAAAAUCAUUCUAUUAACCAGAGAAAAGUUCUAAUACUUUUGCAUAUACAUUAUUUAGUUAAAGAUUAUGGUUCCUGGAGUCAGUGUACCUAGGUUCACAUCUUGGCUCUGUUGUUUACCUCUUUUAGCAUCUUUAGGAUGCUAAAAGAGGUAAACAGGAGUGACCUAACCUGUUUUCACCUCGGCUUUCACAUUCGUAAAUAUAGAUAAUGAUAGUAUUUUUCUUCUAGAAUGAUCAGGACUAAAGGAGUGAUGCAUAAAGUACUUAAAGGAGUCCCUGGUACAGAAUAAGUAUAAUGCUGAUAAGAAGUAUACUAUUGUAUGGUUUCCUGUGAACCCACACACUUUUACAAAAACAAAACCACACAGUAUAUGAACAUUUUUUUUCACUUAAUGUGUUGGUAUUCUUUAAAUUCCUCAUCUCUCUCUCUCUCUCUCUCUCUCUCUCAUUAUAUAGGUAGGUAUUUUUGUGUGUAAUCUUUUAAAAGAAAUCUGCACAGUGAUUUAAAAUGAACAUUUGGGGCAGCCCCGGUGGCGCAGCGGUUUAGCACCGCCUGCAGCCCAGGGCGUGAUCCUGGAGACCCUGGAUCGAGUCCCACAUCAGGCUCUCUGCAUGGAGCCUGCUUCUCCCUCUGCCUGUGUCUCUGCCUCUCUCUCUCUCUCUCUCUGUGUCUCCAUGAAUAAAUAAAUAACAUAUUUAUAAAUAAAUAAAUAAAUAAAUAAAUAAAUAAAUAAAUAAAUAAAAUGAACAUUUGUAUACAUGUAUGUCUGAUCAUCUGUUUAAUUCCUAGAAGUAAAGAUACUUAGUUGAAAGACUGUAUUUCUGAAGGAUGUCCUCCUCCCAACUUCUCCCAAGUGCAGAAAUUUGACCAUUUCCCUUUACCUUACUGCCACAAAAUAUUGCCAUUAACUCUUCUUUUCAAUUUUAUUAUUUUUAUUUUAUAAGGAUUUAUUUAUUUAUUUAUUUUAGAGAGAGAGAUGGGGGAGGGGGACAAUGGGAGAGGCUGAGGAGAGAAAACAUCUCAAACAGACUCCCCACUGAGUGCAGAACCCAACACAGGGCUUGAUCUCAGGACCCAGAGAUCAUGACAUGAGACAAAAUCAAGAGUCAGAUGCUUAACCAACUGAGUCAUCCAGGAACCCCCAGUUUACAUUUCUUUAACUCUGCAAUUAGGCAUCAUUUUAUAUGUUUAUUUUUUGUCUUUUGUUCAUCCUAUUUAGAUGUUUAUCUUUUUGCUACUGACUUUCAUGAGAUCAUUUUAUAGAAAACAAUUUCCUAAAAAUUAUCAAAUAGAUAACUAUUUUCCAAACACUAGGGUAUAUCCAUGAGACUCUUCAUGGUUUGAAUAAAACUUGGAAAGCCGAAAAGUUCUAAUAAGUUUAAUGGCUCCAGUAGAGAUUUCAAUGCAUUUUGAUGCAACAAAGACCAGAUAUUUGGUUCAACUUAAGUGAUUCUCAUUCCUGUGGGAAUCCUUCUCUUAGGGACACACUUGCUUUGUUUUGGGGUCUCUAGUUUUUAUUUCAUUGUGUGAAACUGAGUAAACGAAAUGUCCUUUAAAAUGCAGUCAGAAGGCCAGAGGAGAAGUGCUCAUGCACUACCACUCAUAACCUGCAGACCCCAACCAGAAGAGAAGUACCUUUCAUUGCCACCUGGGAGGAGUUGACAUUUUAGUACCCCAGUGGAAGAAAGGAAGGAAGAUCCCCUGGAACAGCAACUGCCCAUCCAAUGAGAGACUGUCAUAGAUCAGCCAAUGAAAAGCCACUACUCUUCCAACUCCCAGUUUAUUCCAGGAGACUUUUUUUAUCAUAGCCCCUUGUAGCUCCCCCCUUUACUCUAUAAAUGUGUGUUCCUCUCCUUUGUGCUCCAAACUUGCCUAUGGCUUUUGCUAUAGUCGGCUUGUCCCAAAUUGCAAUUCUUCUGAUACUUCCAAAUAAAGCCAUUUUGCUAGUAAAAUAACUGGCUGCUGUACUUUCUAGGUCAAAACAGUUUUAUACCUAAAUUUGCCUAGUGGCAGCUCCUUUUAGCUCACAUUCUGUUCUUCUUUUUCCAGUCUGCUUGACUAUUAAUCCUUUCUUUGCUCUAAAUUAUGCUUUGCUUCAUUGUGUGGAUCAUAGAGAUGAGCCCUGUCUUCUCCUCUAGCCAGGCCCCCACUUUCUUGACUUAGUUGGUAAUUGGUAUGGGAAGGUAAUUAGAGAGCUAUAACAACUAUUAUUAUCCUGGUCAGGAAAAGAAUUUAAAGGCUGGCUGAAUCACUGGUCUGAUCAAUACCACACUGAGAUAUUUCUUAUGGUCAUAUGCAAGAUCUCUUACUCUCUUACUUUCCAUUGGAACAUGGUCUGUACAUCUGAUACCUAACUAAGAAGAGCAUAUACAUUUGUAUAUGUAUAUGAAAAUGUACAUGUAUAUGAAAAUGAACAUUGUCCACACAGUAAUGAUGACAUUUUUAAAAAAGAUUUAUUUAUUUAUUUAUUUAUUUAUUUAUUUAUUUAUUUAUUUAUUUAAGAGAGAAAGGUGAAUGGGGAGGUAUGAGAGAAAGGGAGAGCUUGAAUCCUGAAGCAGACUUGUUGUUCAGCAUAGAGCCUAUGCAGGGCUAGAUCCCAGGACCCUGAGAUCAGGAUCUGAGCUGAAAUCAAGAGUCAGAAGCUCAACCUGCUGAGCCCCAUAGGAACACACAUAUGCACAUGCACACAAACCUCAAGUCAGAGUUUACUCCCACAUCCUAACACACCCCAAGCAAAUUACUAAACAAGCAGUUACAUUGCUAAAAUAAAAUGCAGGGUAAAAACAUGAUAAUUUUAAUGAAGCUAAUAUUCUGAGGGGAGGGGGUAACACUUUUGUUUUCAUAAUAAUUUCUAUUUCACCAGACUUCAAGAAGUAUUGCCUUUAUAUUUCUAUUUACUUAUAAACUUUUAUUUUAUCCAAAUUGCCAAGUAACUGAGUUAGAUAACAGUGGGAUACAGGAAAAAAUGAUUGAAUUUUACAUCUAUAAUUUAAGUAAAAUUUCUAUGAUAAUAAAUAAGACAAUGUUAAUAAGCUAAAAUUUUUAAGAUUUUCCUCUGGCAUUGCUUAAUAAAAGCACAUUUAGGAAGCUAUUCUUCAAAAGCAAAUAGGCCAUUUUACUUGACAUACAACAGAUCAUCAGUUUCUUCUUGACAAUUUUAUGGAGCCAGCACAUACAGCCAUAAUUUACUAGACUUUAAAAUAAAAUUUUUUAAUGUUCUUGUAUGAAUUUAAGAAUGUUAAGCAAGAGGAAUAAGAAAAAUGAUGUUAAUCUACAGUCUUGCUGAUAUUUCUGUAAUGUAUAUUAUAGUUGGGGGGAACUUAAAAAAAAACACCCUCAAAUUCAAUAAGUUUCUAUCAACUAUAUUUACAAGUAAAAAGAGUAAUUAUUCUCAGCUUUCAAUUUAUUUUUAUCUUUUAAUUUAAAUUUGAGCAGGUCAGCCCCUCUGGAAAACCUGCCACUUAAACUAAAAAAACAAGGCACUUGUGGUUGUUUUCUGAGUUAAAAUAUGCAAACUACAACAUUCAAAUAAGACAUUUAUUCAAAACUGAAAGAAUCAACUCAUUUAUUAUGAGGUGGAGGCCUCCUUUGCCAAGCAUCAGUUUUGAUUAUGCUGUAAAUUCUACUAUUUCUCUGGGAUUCUCAUGGACUCAAUUGCAUAAAAUAAUGAUCUUCUUGUCAUAUGAAUUUAAGCUUGAGAUCACAAUACACACCAGUAGCAACAUACUUUGCCUUAUCAAUGCUAGAAAUAAUUUGAUAAUGAAGGUCCCUGAGAGCUGAAUAAUAUUGAGUGUUAUCAUUGGCAAUCAAUGCUGGAUCCCAACAUGUGAAUUUUCAUCUCCCUCUGGUGGCAAAGAGAAAUAGGGAGCCAACAGGUACUAUAAUUCACAUCAUUGUACAAAAAGCCAAUGAUACCAGUUCAAGAAUAAAUUCACACUCCCAUAGACUUUACUGACUUAAAGAUUUCUUCUUUUUAUAAAUUAUCAUGAUGCAACAACACUCAAAAUAUGGCCAGAAUAUUUAAAUCUCGCCAGUAUUCUAACUUCUUCAUAGCAAAGAGUAUAAUGCUUUACAAUUUUGUAUAUAAUAUCUCCUUUCCUCCCUCCUCCCUUUUCUUUUCUCCCUCUUUUCUUCCUUCUUUUCAUAAAUGUAAGUCAAAAUAAGCACAUUAAA